rnacentral:rRNA from 1 species
AUUGAACGCUGGCGGCAGGCCUAACACAUGCAAGUCGAACGGUAACAGGAAGAAGCUUGCUUCUUUGCUGACGAGUGGCGGACGGGUGAGUAAUGUCUGGGAAACUGCCUGAUGGAGGGGGAUAACUACUGGAAACGGUAGCUAAUACCGCAUAACGUCGCAAGACCAAAGAGGGGGACCUUAGGGCCUCUUGCCAUCGGAUGUGCCCAGAUGGGAUUAGCUUGUUGGUGGGGUAACGGCUCACCAAGGCGACGAUCCCUAGCUGGUCUGAGAGGAUGACCAGCCACAAUGGAACUGAGACACGGUCCAGACUCCUACGGGAGGCAGCAGUGGGGAAUAUUGCACAACGGGCGCAAGCCUGAUGCAGCCAUGCCGCGUGUAUGAAGAAGGCCUUCGGGUUUUAAAGUACUUUCAGAGGGGAGGAAGGGAGUAAAGUUAAUACCUUCGCUCAUUGACGUUACCCGCAGAAGAAGCACCGGCUAACUCCGUG